ACAGCUUUCAACUCGGCAGAAAACCUACCUGCGUGGCUGCGCUUUGUCAAUUAAUUGUAUAUAGUGGGACAAGUUAUCUCUUCUCAGCGUGAGAAAUACAAGGUGUUAUGUGAGAACGUGUGAAAUGGUUGAGAUGCGUGAGACUCGAGAGCCCUUAAGUUUAGAUUUAAAAUGUACCUUUCAAGAUACUUUUUCACCUAAAUGCGGAACAGUUUCCAAAUGUUGAAGUAUGAAGUUACAAUUACAACUUCCAGCGUUGAGCUUGUUAACAUCUGUAACUACAUUCAAGAUUUGGCACCGACACGAGCACAACGUUAUAUUUCGCCACCUGCAAACAUCGAAGAAAAACAUCGCGUGGGUAUUUUAAUUUGGAAAUGAGGACAAGCUCCAGACAGUGUGCUGUUCAGCCUUCUAGUUUCCUGAAAGGAGGAAGAGACUGUCGUCCGCAUCUAGUGGCGGAGACCAGGAGAGUGGCACUAAAUCAGUCCUUCCCUUA